CCUACGGGUGGCAGCAGUAGGGAAUUUUCCGCAAUGGGCGAAAGCCUGACGGAGCAACGCCGCGUGAGCGAUGAAGGUCUUCGGAUCGUAAAACUCUGUUAAUAGGGAAGAACAUAUGUGUAAGUAACUGUGCACAUCUUGAUGGUACCUAUCCAGAAAGUCACGGCUAACUACGUGCCAGCAGCCGCGGUAAUACGUAGGUGGCAAGCGUUAUCCGGAAUUAUUGGGCGUAAAGGGGGCGUAGGCGGGUUUUCAAGUCUGAUGUGAAAGGUAACGGCUCAACCGGGGACGGCCAUUGGAAACUGGAGAGCUUGAGAGCAGAAGAGGGAGGUGGAAUUCCAUGUGUAGCGGUGAAAUGCGCAGAGAUAUGGAGGAACACCAGUGGCGAAGGCGACUGUCUGGUCUGUAACUGACGCUGAGGUGCGAAAGCGUGGGGAGCAAACAGGAUUAGAUACCCGUGUAGUC
rnacentral:rRNA from 1 species